rnacentral:rRNA from 1 species
CAGAUCGCGGCUGUUGGACAUGCGAUUAUGACUACCAGAUCCCCAGACAUCCCCUGGCAGAUGAGGGCAGCCCGGGUGCUGCCCAUGUUCUUGGUUCCUGCUUUAGCUGCUCUCAUCUACUCAGCUAUUACAAGCAUUGCGAAAUUUCUUGAUAAUAGAGAUCAACAUACUCUUGAAAAGCUUCGUGCUGAAAGGCAGGCCAAGAUUGAUGAGUUGAAGGAGAGAACAAACUACUACACUACCCAGCAACUUAUACAGAGAUAUGAUCUUGACCCUGCUGCAAAGGCGGCUGCAGCAAGUGUUUUGGCAUCUAAGCUGGGCGCAGAUUCUGGAUUGAGAGUCUUUUUGGGAGAUGAGUCGAACGUGGAUGGAAGUAAAAGUAAUGAUCAGCACGGACAGACUUCUGGCCUGAGGCAAAGAAAACCAGCCCACUCAGGUCAUGGCUCUGGACCGACCCAUGCCUCUGAGCCAUCAGACGGCUCGAGUAUAUAUGAUGGUAACGAAAGCCCCACUGCAAAUCGGACUGUUGAGCACUUUAGAGGCCAUGCUGGCAAUGAUGGCGGAUGGCUCGCACGGGUGGCCGCUCUGCUUGUAGGGGAGGAUCCAACACAGUGCUUUGCACUAAUAUGUGGCAACUGCCAUAUGCAUAAUGGCCUUGCGAGGAAAGAGGACUUUGCAUUCGUUACAUACUACUGUCCUCACUGCAAUGCUCUCAACGGAUCGCGGCAACAGGAGGACGGUGAAAUGGUGACUCCUACCGACCGCUCCUUUGGUAACAGCGUCCAAGCCGGCGCCAGCCUUGCGGACUCGGGCGUCAGCAGUCCUGUUGGGAGGAGCUUGCCGACCGUUGAAGAACUGCCUGCAGAAAGUUCUGGUGCGAGUAACUCAACGAUCGCUGAACAGCCUCGAGCAGAGAGUUCUUCUGCCGCAAAUAACUUACCACCAACUGUUGAAGUUCCACCCGCCGAUCAGCUUGCCAGCUGA